rnacentral:rRNA from 1 species
GGAUUAGAUACCCUGGUAGUCCACGCCCUAAACGAUGUCGACUGGGUGUUGGGGGAGGAGACUUCCUUAGUACCGUAGCUAACGCGUGAAGUCGACCGCCUGGGGAGUACGGCCGCAAGGUUAAAACUCAAAGGAAUUGACGGGGACCCGCACAAGCGGUGGAUGAUGUGGAUUAAUUCGAUGCAACGCGAAAAACCUUACCUACCCUUGACAUGCCCGGAACCCUGGUGAGAGCUGGGGGUGCCCGAAAGGGAGCUGGGACACAGGUGCUGCAUGGCUGUCGUCAGCUCGUGCCG